GCGGUGUGUACAAAGGGCAGGGACGUAAUCAACGCAUGCUGAUGACAUGCGCUUACUAGGAAUUCCUCGUUGAAGAGCAAUAAUUGCAAUGCUCUAUCCCCAGCACGACAGAGUUUCAUAAGAUUGCCCAGACCUUCCGGUCAAGGUUGUAUACUCGCUGCCUCUGUCAGUGUAGCGCGCGUGCAGCCCAGAACAUCUAAGGGCAUCACAGA
rnacentral:misc_RNA from 1 species